rnacentral:tRNA from 1 species
GCCUGGCUGUCUCAAUCGGUAGAGCACGUGGCUCUUGAUCUCGGGGCUGUGAGUUCAAGCCCCACGUUGGGUA